GACGAACGCUGGCGGCGUGCUUAACACAUGCAAGUCGAACGGAAAGGCCCUGCUUUUGUGGGGUGCUCGAGUGGCGAACGGGUGAGUAACACGUGAGUAACCUGCCCUUGACUUUGGGAUAACUUCAGGAAACUGGGGCUAAUACCGGAUAGGAGCUCCUGCUGCAUGGUGGGGGUUGGAAAGUUUCGGCGGUUGGGGAUGGACUCGCGGCUUAUCAGUUUGUUGGUGGGGUAGUGGCUUACCAAGGCUUUGACGGGUAGCCGGCCUGAGAGGGUGACCGGCCACAUUGGGACUGAGAUACGGACCAGACUCCUACGGGAGGCAGCAGUGGGGAAUAUUGCACAGUGGGCGGAAGCCGGAUGCAGCAACGCCGCGUGCGGGAUGACGGCCUUCGGGUUGUAAACCGCUUUCGCCUGUGACGAAGCGUGAGUGACGGUAAUGGGUAAAGAAGCACCGGCUAACUACGUG
rnacentral:rRNA from 1 species